rnacentral:rRNA from 1 species
GAUGAACGCUGGCGGCGUGCCUAAUACAUGCAAGUCGAGCGGAAAGACGCGGAGCUUGCUCCUCUCACGUUAGCGGCGGACGGGUGAGUAACGCGUGGAUAACCCACCUGUAUGACUGGUAUAACUUCGGGAAACCGGAGCAAAUACCGGAUAAUAUAUUGAACCGCAUGGUUCAAUAGUGAAAUACGGUUUUGCUGUCACUUCUAGAUGGAUCUGGGCGGCAUUGGCUGGUUGGUAAGUUAACGGCUUUCCAAGGCAACGAUGCGUAGCCGACGGGAGAGGGGGAUCGGCCGCCCGGGAGGUGAGACACGCUCCUGAGUCCUACGGUAGGCCCCAGUAGGUAACGUGAGGCACUGGGGGGAAGCCUGACGGAUCAGCGGCACGUGGGUGAUGAAGGUCUUCGGUUCGUAAGACUCGCUUACUGGGGAAAAACGACUUUGUAAGUAACUAUGCACUUCGUGACGGUAACGGAUAAGAAAGCCACGGCUAACUACGUG